UAGGGAAUCUUCGGCAAUGGACGAAAGUCUGACCGAGCAACGCCGCGUGAGUGAAGAAGGUUUUCGGAUCGUAAAACUCUGUUGUUAGAGAAGAACAAGGACGUUAGUAACUGAACGUCCCCUGACGGUAUCUAACCAGAACGCCACGGCUAACUACGUGCCAGCAGCCGCGGUAAUACGUAGGUGGCAAGCGUUGUCCGGAUUUAUUGGGCGUAAAGCGAGCGCAGGCGGUUUCUUAAGUCUGAUGUGAAAGCCCCCGGCUCAACCGGGGAGGGUUAUUGGAAACUAGGAGACUGGAGUGCAGAAGAGGAGGGUGUAAUUCCAGGUGUAGCGGUGAAAUGCGUAGAUAUAUGGAGGAACAGCAGUGGCGAAGGCGGCUCUCUGGUCUGUAACUGACGCUGAGGCUCGAAAGCGUGGGGAGCAAACAGG
rnacentral:rRNA from 1 species